AGAGACAGACAUACACAGAGUGUAUCCAAAGCUAACAAGUAAAGCCACCCAGAACUCCCUUAAAGGUUGGUAGCUUUUUAAAUGUGACUUAAAAGGUGUUUCCUUUUUAUAGAAGUAUACAAAGCUCAACAUUUGCUGGCCUGCUAUCAGCCAGACCCCAAGAUCUCAGAAGGCUGGCUUCUGUUAUACCUACGAUUUCAAGCCGUUCCCAUACUGCCCAAUUUGAGUCGACUCUGGUGAUCGUUUGGCCGAUUUACCAAACUGAAUCACACUUGCGGCAUCACCUGGAAUGACAGAAAAAGUGAGAUCUACUUAUGAAGCUUCUGGAUUCCAUGAAGCUCUGAGGGAAAAGAGACCUACAUAUCACAGGGGAGCUUCAUUCCUGCGCUUUGCUCCUCUCUAGAACAGCCUGCUGUAACAAACAGAAGAUAAGUGUGAAGGCCAUCACCGGAACAGAUGUUCUAGGGAGGAAUCGAGGACAGACGUAAAGGCACCAGGAGAUUGCAACACGCCCCUAUUGAGAUGUCAGAGGAGGGCAGAUUGAUAACUCUAAAAGAUGUGGCUGGCACCCAUCAACGGGGACAAGAGAGCUGUGAACAAAACUAGAAUGAGGUAACUCCCUGAGAGAUUGAUAAAAGAACAAGAUAAAGGAUGAGAAGAACAAUUUAAGAAAACAAGCACUCGUCAAAUGACAAUUGAUUACAGCACAACAGUGCAAAACUCAUUGGUCCCAGUGAAGGAAAAUCACUAUAUUUACAGGGGGCCUUGCCAUGAAACUUUGGGUUUGUCCUGCCAAGACUUCCGUGGAGCAUCGUGUCACGACCGAGAGAACCUGGCUCCUACUACCUGUGAUCAACCUUGCUGGCCACUAGAUUGAUCCGGACUCUGGACUGGUAACUAUAACAUUGACUGGCGGGAGUGUGUGUGUGUGUGUGUGUGUGGUGCGAUUGAAUGCAUAUG